rnacentral:lncRNA from 1 species
GUAAAAAGUGAAAAUGUUCGAAGAACUGAAGAAAAUGAUAGGGCAUUGGACGAUGAAAUAAAGGAGUUUAAGGUGGGGUUUUUUUUUUCAUAGUUAACUUUCUUACUAUAUAAAGUCCAUUUACGUGUUCGAUUUUUAUUAUUGGAUUUGUAGGGAUAGGUGCAUGAUACUUGCCAAGGACUCUAGAUCUUCCUACUCAAGGGACAUGUAAACAGAUUAGGACCUCUCGGAUCGUGCAUACUACUCAAGAGGACAUUAGAAUUUUAUAUAAUUAAUUGAGCAGACGAGCUACAAGUUUUGGAGUACAUAGUUGUUAGUUCAUGAUAUCGGAG